AGAAUCAACGCUGGCGGCGUGCCUAACACAUGCAAGUCGCACGAGAAAGGGACUUCGGUCCUGAGUAAAGUGGCGCACGGGUGAGUAACACGUGAAUCAUCUACCUCCGAAUGGGGAAUAACUGAGAGAAAUCUUAGCUAAUACCGCAUAAUACCUACGGGUCAAAGCAGCAAUGCGUUUGGAGAGGAGUUCGCGGCAGAUUAGUUAGUUGGCGGGGUAAUGGCCCACCAAGACGAUGAUCUGUA
rnacentral:rRNA from 1 species